UCCGGCUUAUCACCGGCAGUCCCCUUAGAGUUCCCAACUUAAUGAUGGCAACUAAGGGCGAGGGUUGCGCUCGUUGCGGGACUUAACCCAACACCUCACGACACGAGCUGACGACAGCCAUGCAGCACCUGUCUUACGGUUCCCGAAGGCACCCCCCUGUUUCCAGGAGGUUCCGUAGAUGUCAAGCCCAGGUAAGGUUCUGCGCGUUGCUUCGAAUUAAACCACAUGCUCCACCGCUUGUGCGGGCCCCCGUCAAUUCCUUUGAGUUUCAGCCUUGCGGCCGUACUCCCCAGGCGGGGCACUUCAUGCGUUAGCGCCGGUACUCCAAGGGUCGCUCCCCGGAGCACCUAGUGCCCAUCGUUUACAGCCGGGACUAC
rnacentral:misc_RNA from 1 species